rnacentral:rRNA from 1 species
CUUGGUCAUUUAGAGGAAGUAAAAGUCGUAACAAGGUUUCCGUAGGUGAACCUGCGGAAGGAUCAUUAUCAAAAGUCAAGUCGGGGGCCGUAAAGCUCUCGUCUACACCCAUGUCUUUUGCGUACUCUUGUUUCCUCGGUGGCGCAAGCUGCCGAUUGGACAAACCAAAACCUUUUUUUGUAAUUGCAAUCAGCGUCUGAAAAUAAUCUAAUUAUUUACAACUUUCAACAACGGAUCUCUUGGUUCUGGCAUCGAUGAAGAACGCAGCGAAAUGCGAUAAGUAGUGUGAAUUGCAGAACUCAGUGAAUCAUCGAAUCUUUGAACGCACAUUGCGCCCCUUGGUAUUCCAUGGGGCAUGCCUGUUCGAGCGUCAUUUGUACCCUCAAGCUUUGCUUGGUGUUGGGCGUCUUGUCGUAUUACGACUCGCCUUAAAUUCAUUGGCAGCCGGCACUUUGGCCUAGGAGCGCAGCACAUUUUGCGAUCGUAGCCCGUUGUACUGGCGUCCAUCAAGAACAUUUACCACGUUUGACCUCGGAUCAGGUAGGGAUACCCGCUGAACUUAAGCAUAUCAAUAAGCGGAGGA